UACGUAGGUGGCAAGCGUUGUCCGGAUUUACUGGGUGUAAAGGGCGUGCAGCCGGAGAGACAAGUCAGAUGUGAAAUCCACGGGCUCAACCCGUGAACUGCAUUUGAAACUGUUUCCCUUGAGUGUCGGAGAGGUAAUCGGAAUUCCUUGUGUAGCGGUGAAAUGCGUAGAUAUAAGGAAGAACACCAGUGGCGAAGGCGGAUUACUAGACGAUAACUGACGGUGAGGCGCGAAAGCGUGGGGAGCAAACAGG
rnacentral:rRNA from 1 species